AGGUCUUCAGAAGCGCGGGUCUUGGGCUAAUUGAAGUGCACCGUUUCAAUUGUAUAUAUAAUCCAAAAAUUUUCUACCUCUAUCACUUUCCAUUUCCCACUCUCUAAAAAAACAAUUUCUUUGUCUCUCUCUCUAAACGGGAUGAAACUGGUAGAAAACUUCAAGGUUUUCAGAUUUCGGUGCCUGCGCCGCCACCGGUCGCCACCCACUGCAUCGGCCGGUCACCAAUUCAGCCCAAAAUUUCGUAGCUGUUUCCUCUCAGUCUCCUCAUCUCAAAUCUAAACUCAAGUUUUUGAAAAUCGUCCACCGAUGGCCUCGAUCCGAAGCCAAAGUUGCUGUAUUCCACCACGGUUUUCACUUCAUUUCACCGUUCGAUCAAGUUGAUUUUUUUUAAUGUUAUCCUCCUCUCGAUGUUCUUCGUGUUUGCAGGUUUCGAUUCUUCAAAAUCGCCGGUGGUCAUCGGCUUAGACUUUCAUUGCGUCGCUUCUGUCUCUACCGUGGGUCGGUCGCCACACUAUACUGUUGCUUCUGUCUUCAACAGCCCUAAAUCAACCUUGGCUCACUUCCUUUGUCCAACCACCAUAAGUACCACUGAGUUGCAAUGCCGGUUGUAGCUGCUUUUUUUUUUUUUUUCUGUUUGGCACUGCCCCAAAAAAGGCCCAGAUUUGUUGAUGCUGAAAUAGCUUCUCUUGAUUUUUCUUUUGGAAUUUAUGCUAACUGAUGGCUUGUGUUGAUGGAAUAAUGUUUUUAGAAGCGAUUGUUUCCAAAAAAUUAGGAUUUUUCCUGAUGAGGUUUCUGUGUUAAUGAUGAAUUGUGGGUGGUUACUGAUUCUGUCUGCAGGUUUGUGGUUUGUUUGAUCUAUUUGAAUCUGCUUGGGGUUGUUUUAAUGGCUUCUUGAGGAUUGGGUGCGACAAGGGUAAGGGUACUAGCUAUGGUUCUGGUAAUGUGGCCUCGAGUAUGGGGUUAUAUUGUAGGCUGGAACGGUGGUGUAGGUUUUGAUCAAGAUCGGUUGUGGUGUUUGUUAAGAUUGUUUUAGUGUAGGUGGGAAUGUGAAUGACUUCGGUUCUGGCAAGCUUGGCUGAUGGAUUUUGAGGUGGAGACUAGGUUGAUGGGAAUAAGGCCGAUUGUAGGCUCUAUGGUGCUGGGAAUGUAUCUGUGAAUUGUUGCUCCAUUUUUUUUUUUCUGUUCUAUGUUCUUCCCACCAUAAAACUAUGGUACUGAAUUUAUACGGAUUUUGUUUCAAAUUCAAUAGAACUCCCCAUCUAAAGGAGUUUCAACUCCAUUUCAAUUCAAGUUUUGGACUUUGAUUUCAACUAAAACUUUGCAAUCCAAAAAAAU
rnacentral:lncRNA from 1 species